rnacentral:tRNA from 1 species
CGGGAUGUAGGGGAGCGGCACCCCACGUGCUUUGGGCGCACGGAAUCGUCGGUUCGAGUCCGUCCAUCCCGA